CUGAACGAGCACGCCGCGUGAGUGAGAAGGUUUUCGGAUCGUAAAGCUCUGUUGUAAGAGAAGAACGAGUGUGAGAGUGGAAAGUUCACACUGUGACGGUAUCUUACCAGAAAGGGACGGCUAACUACGUGCCAGCAGCCGCGGUAAUACGUAGGUCCCGAGCGUUAUCCGGAUUUAUUGGGCGUAAAGCGAGCGCAGGCGGUUAGAUAAGUCUGAAGUUAAAGGCUGUGGCUUAACCAUAGUACGCUUUGGAAACUGUUUAACUUGAGUGCAAGAGGGGAGAGUGGAAUUCCAUGUGUAGCGGUGAAAUGCGUAGAUAUAUGGAGGAACACCGGUGGCGAAAGCGGCUCUCUGGCUUGUAACUGACGCUGAGGCUCGAAAGCGUGGGGAGCAAACA
rnacentral:rRNA from 1 species